CUUGACCGAGCCGAGCAGCAGCGGCUGCCCGGGGGCGCGGUUCUGCCCGUAGGUGGCCAGCAGCGCCUGGGCCUC
rnacentral:antisense_RNA from 1 species